rnacentral:lncRNA from 1 species
ACGCGGGCGUGAAGUGUUAAGCGCUCGAAUGCAGCGAGUGUAUACAAGUGCGCAUGUGCAGAUUAGCAAGGGACGUGCAAAGAUCCACUUCGCCUAAGAUCCCUUCAGAUCAUCUGUGGCGUAACCGUUCACGCAUCGGAACUCCAGAAGCAUCCCCAGAUCAUGCAACCUUUAUUCAGCCAUUGCUCUGCUGCAGAAAAAAGUUGAACAGUAAAAAGAGGGGCCUACAUAAAAUGGAAAUAUCAUGGACUGCCAGAAGAACAAAUAAAUCAGUGUUAGAAGAGAUACAACCAACAUGUUCCUUAGAGGUGAAGAUGAUGAGACCUAGACUCUCAUACUUUGGACACAUUGUCAGAAAAGACCCAUCACUUGAAAAGGACAUCAUGUCAGGUAAAGUCGAGGGCCAAUGAAAAGAGGCAGACCUUCAGUGCGAUGGAUUGAUACAAUUGCCGCAGCAACGAAUGGAAAUGUUGAAAUGAUCAGGCACGUAGCACAAGAUCGGGCAACAUUUCGCUCUGUUACACACGGUCACCGUGAGUCGUAAACGACUCGACGGAAACUAACUAAUAUAAAAUGGAGGUGAGGUCCUGGGGUAGUUCGUGUUCAAGGUAUUACCUCAUUGUCGUGCUGCACCAGCGCGUAUUUGUCUCUCCAGCUUUCUUAUCCGAGCAGCUUCCUUAAUUAGCCAGGACUUUUUGACAGUCCUUUGUUGGCCCUGUCCUAUAGCACAUGCUCUGACAGAAACUGGUGACUUCACCCCUCUUCCACAAAACUUCCCCCACCCUACUUCCUCCCUCUUUCCCUCCCUCUGUCCCUCCCUCCCUCCCUCCCUCCCUCCCCUAUUUUUGUGCUGUGCUGUCAAGCAGCUGGACAGCUGUUUUUCGCUCUCAUUCCCCUCCCUGCUAAUGCUUAUCAGGCUGGGUUGUGGGAACCGGCAAGGCUCUCUGUCUCAGUUCCACAGGAGGACCUGCUCGUGUGACUGCACCCCAGAUCCUGUGUCCAUCGUGUCGUGUUGUGGACUGGGUCCUGCUGUAAGGGAAGGCUGCUCCUUCCCUGCUCCACACGCACAGUGCUCUGAACUGGCUCAGAACACA